rnacentral:rRNA from 1 species
UACGGAGGGUGCGAGCGUUGUCCGGAAUCAUUGGGCGUAAAGGGCGCGUAGGUGGCGGGACAAGCGUGCGGUGAAAGCCUGGGGCUCAACCCCGGGUCGGCCGUGCGAACUGUUUUGCUUGAGCACUGUAGAGGCAGGCGGAAUUCCGGGUGUAGCGGUGGAAUGCGUAGAGAUCCGGAAGAACAUCGGUGGCGAAGGCGGCCUGCUGGGCAGUAGCUGACACUGAGGCGCGACAGCGUGGGGAGCAAACAGG